AUGCAACUCAUUUUGAUGCAGGAUAAUUGCUAUUGGAUGUUGGGCAAGGACCUGCUGAUGACAAUGUGGCCACAGAAGCUUCGGAGUUAUUGUGCUAGUACAAAAGUGGUUUCCAGAGAAGAACAGACUUGUCCUCCAGCUGCUCCCAGGUGGCCCACUCUGCAGCCAGGUGUGAAGGGCUGGCGAGUUCUUCCUGCAGUUGGAGAUGCAAUGCAGACAUGGUGAGUCGAACAUCAAACUAUGUCUUCCCCAUUUGGCUACGGAGGAUGCUUCUGAAGGAGGAGCAGAUAUCGACUGAAAAUUUCACAGAAGACAAAUGGAUUCACAUUUCCCUGCAGAUUUCUUUCUCUGUGGUCAGAGUUGGAGUUGAGCUGCCCAUUCCUGUCAAUCUCCUCGAAGCCCCACCCUGAUGCUUCCACCUGCUGGGGAGCCAGGCAUUCCACAUGUCACCUGUCCUGAGGCUGCAGGAAACAACCACGGGCAAAUAAGUCACGGGUCAUAGAUAUACCAUGGAAGCGCUUUCCAUGGAAGGUUUUUUUUUGCGGGGGGUGGGGGGAGGUUGGGCUGUGCCAUGGCAUAUGGAAGAUCUUGGGGCAGGGAUCAAAUCCGAGCCUCUGCAGUGACCCAGGCUGCUGCAGUGGGAUUCUUAACCCACGGGGCCACAGCAGGAACUGCCUUCCGUGGAAGUUUUGAAGCAUUUUCAUUAGGGUAGCUUGGCAUGCUGGAAAGGUGGCUGGAAACAGAACUGGAAGAUGCACCUGCUCUUUGCCACCAUAGGGGCCCUUGUCCCCGUCUCUAAAUGCAGGUGUCUGAUUGGACAGCGGGAGACCCUAUGACCUCUCAUGCUGUUCUUCUCUCUAUGGUCCUUGCGGUGCCCUGACCACCUGCUUCAAGGUUACUCUCACUUUGAAAGCUCAGUUCUUCUAUCCACUUUUUUUUUUUUUUAAUGGGGAAACGCAGGCUCAGAGAGAUUAAGGGGCUUGCCCCAAAUCACACAACCAGAUUGAGCAGCAGUAGUUGUACUAACAUGUUGAGCCUAAACAUUAGGUUACAUGUCCUAGUAGGACAGUCAUGCUCAGCAGUCUUUCUUUCAGCAGCUGCCUGACUUCAAUAACUUUAUUUCUUUCAACAACUCUUAAUUUACCAAUGUGGUUGGGACAAGCACAUGGAACACCAAAGGAAGUUACGUGUGGACAAGAAAUGUGCUCUUGAAAAGAUCAUUUUUGUCCCCAAAGUGAUUCUGCCCAGGGUGGAAAUCACAGGUGCCUUAUUUAUCCAGGAGACACUGAUGUUUCUGAAGGCUUCCCGGCAAAGAUCAACCUCCAGAUGACAGAGUCUUAACUCAGCCUCCUGUUCUGGUGUCAGAAUUCCUUCUGGGAAUGGCUUCUUAGAUGUUCUGCUCUGAUGUCCCGCUGCCCUCUGCAAGCCUCCAGCUUUCUCUUCUCCCAUCUAGAACCAUCUCGAUCGUGUCCCUCUAUGCUCUACUGAAUAAGUUUUCAUCCCCCUUCCCUCACAAGCUUCUCACCCCCCAGCUCAUCUCUCUGGAAUUGUUCUGAACUUCUAGCCCGUGAUGCUCCAUCUCAUGUUAGACAUGGCAGUCUGUUCUAGGAGGCUGCUUCCUCCAGAAUUAACCUUCCUCCAUCCACGCUGGACUCAUGGGUCUGAUGGAGGCUUUACUCUCUCACAGUCUAGUUGAUCCAUUGCAAGGGACCUGACACAUGAGCCCUGCAUCUUCAGACUCUCUUUGGAUACGAUGAGCCACAGGAGUAUCCUCCUGGGUCCCCGAGGGGUGAAUCUACCUCUGUUCUGGGACCAGAAGGGGAGAUAGCAACAUGUGUGUGGGAGUUUUGGGUUUCUAGUCCUUGGGCUGGAAGAAUAUUACAUCAAGCGGGUUGUGCCAUGAAAAAUGAUCACCCUUAGUUCUCACUGUGGCACAGUGAGAAUCUGUAGUGGGUUAAGAAUCGGACUGCAGUGACUUUAGUUGCUGAGGAGGUAAGUGCAGGUUCAAUCCCUGGCCCAGAGCAGAGGGUUAAAGGAUCUGGCAUUGCAAUAGCUGUGUGCUGCAGCUGUGGCACAGGUUGCAUCUGUGGCUCCAAUUCAGUCCCUGGCCCAGGAACUUCUAGAUGCCACAGGUACAGCCAUUAAAAAAAAAAAAAAGCAGACAUGGACAGGAUGUUGUAAACCAGCUAUACUUUAAUAAAAACUUUUUUAAAAAAAUUAAAAAAAGAGCA
rnacentral:lncRNA from 1 species